rnacentral:rRNA from 1 species
AGUGAACGCUGGCGGUAGGCCUAACACAUGCAAGUCGAACGGCAGCACAGUAAGAGCUUGCUCUUACGGGUGGCGAGUGGCGGACGGGUGAGGAAUACAUCGGAAUCUACUUUUUCGUGGGGGAUAACGUAGGGAAACUUACGCUAAUACCGCAUACGACCUACGGGUGAAAGCAGGGGAUCUUCGGACCUUGCGCGAAUGAAUGAGCCGAUGUCGGAUUAGCUAGUUGGCGGGGUAAAGGCCCACCAAGGCGACGAUCCGUAGCUGGUGUGAGAGGAUGAUCAGCCACACUGGAACUGAGACACGGUCCAGACUCCUACGGGAGGCAGCAGUGGGGAAUAUUGGACAAUGGGCGCAAGCCUGAUCCAGCCAUACCGCGUGGGUGAAGAAGGCCUUCGGGUUGUAAAGCCCUUUUGUUGGGAAAGAAAAGCAGCAGGUUAAUACCCCGCUGUUCUGACGGUACCCAAAGAAUAAGCACCGGCUAACUUCGUG